UGCUCCUCUCCUGUCCCGCCGCUCCGUCUCCAGUCUCUCCGGGGGAACAGCCAUGGAAGGCGACAACAUAAUAAUGCCCGUCUGACUCGGCGGAGGAGGCUUUUCAAGAUGCCAGGCCUUUUGUCCAGUCCUGUGUGUCUGACAGUCAUCUGGUUUCUGUCCUUGUCGCUGCAUCCUAGUUGUGCUCAGAUUUGGACUGAUGAAGUGUCAGGCGUGCAGUACGGGCACUUGGAGUCGAAUGUGACACUGGCAUGCGGGAAGUCGCAAAUCAGGACGCCUGUGGUGUGGCAUCUCAACCACAGCUCAGCGCUGCCAUGGCACAAAGUGACAUCGAACGGCACCUUGGUCCUGCUGCAGGUCGACCACUCGGCACAGGGCAUCUACAGCUGCUACGAUGCCCGCGGGCUGCUCCUUCACUCUGUCAAACUCCGGCUUGGUCAUUCCCCCGGGCUGCUGAGUGUUUCCUGUCAAGUGCCCAAUCACACACACGUGCGCUGCUCCUGGGUGGAGUCGGUGAGGACCUUCCUGCCAGCCCAGUACAACGCCUCCUUCAAGGGCAACAGUCUUGAGUGGAGGCCAUGUGUCGUGGAUGUCGCCCGCAAGCAUUGUGAUGUAGACCACCCCGCCUUCUGGCAGACCUCUCACACUCUUAGAGUCACGGAGACCAACGCCCUGGGGUCUUUGAUCACAUUUCACAUCGUCAAGUUACACAAGCUAUUGAAGCCAGACCCUCCAGAGUCCGUGUCGGUGAAGGAGCUAGAAGGUUAUCCAAAGAGGCUGGUCGUCUCCUGGAAGUUUCCCUCCUCCUGGCCGCAGGACGAUGCAUUUCCCCUGGUGUUUCACAUCAGAUACAGGCCACAGGGCUCCAUGCACUGGGCCGAGUUCUACUCGGAGGAGAGUCCAGUUGUGGUAUUAGACGCCCUGGCUGGCCACCUGCACCAGGUGCAGAUUCAAGCCCGCGAUGAGGUGGACGCAGAGAGCCAGUGGAGUGAAUGGAGUCCCCUGCUUCUCAUGCGGCCCUGGGAAGCCUACACCACCACGACUGAACCCACCGAGGAGCCAGAGGGUACAUUCCCAGAAAAGCCUGAGACCUCGACUGCAAAAACACACAAUCCUGUGAUUGAAGGUGAAGGUAAUUUGGGUUUGGUGAUUUUGCUGGUAUUGUUCUCCGUGGUCCUCCUCAUCACCGUCCCCUCCCUCAUCUAUGUCGUGUGUUUUUUAUAUUUCCAGGGUGAGGCAGAGGCGGAGUGAUCACGUGACCAAACAGGAACUCACCUCUAUGGUCAAGAUGAAGUCCAUGCCAAUCUAAUGUUGAUUUCAAGUAUCUUCUCAUCAUCAGCCCGUUCUAGGGCUCCUCACAACAUGAACCACGCUGCGUCCGAGUCCAUCCAUGAUCCAGGACGACAGGGACAAACACAUUCACGGAACUGCAGAGUGUAUAAAAGCUGACUGAAGGGUUUUUGCACAAAUCACACGUGCAGGAUUUUCCUGGACACAUUCAAUGCUUACACCUGACUGCACUACCCAGAAUGCAUCAGCAGACUCCCUUCCACUGUCCACGGGGGACACAGAAAACAGACUUUGCUCUGUUUCUUCGCUCGCUUCACCGCAGCUCACGCCUCCACAGACUGUGGGAGCGACGCUGCACCAAGACAUUGGAAGUUCACUCACAACCGACGCUGCUUCAGGUGGACUGACUCCUCGACCCGUUCAGGGAGAGAGGGGUGACGUUAUUUUUAACCGUUGAAACUUUUAAGUAACAAAUUAUUACAGGAAGUGCAGCUGCCAAACAGGAGAACAGAAGAUUUUAUUUUCUUUGUGGGACAACUUGCUUCUUUUUUCCCCCGAACCCAGAACUCCUCACUUUCUUGUUUUUUUAUUUUUUUGAGAUUCAGAUUUAAUGUGUGUCCGUUACUACACCGACCGACUCAACGCUGUGAAGGAAGCUUAACAAGUCUCUGUGUGCGUCUAAUGCCAAAGCAGCAACUACGGGCAUUAUAGUUUCAGCUGAAGGGGCAGGAAACGACCUGGUCCCUGCUCCUGACCUGAGGGGGAUGGACACGGAGGAUAAAGUCCAGGGUGGGUGGCCUGGGUUAUUUAGACUAUAUUUCAUUUACGACAAAUGAUUUUACAUGUUGCAUGACGUGCUUGUUUUAAUUGUCUUGAUGUCAUUAGUACGCGUCACUUUGUUUUGUUUUGUUAUACCUCUUUUUCUAUCAAUCCAUCCACUGUUCCUGAAUGUGUGUGAAGAAAAGACGCACACGAACAGAAAGAGAUCAGAGAGGAGAUACAGGCCUGUCACAGAGCACCAGCAUUACGACAUUACUUCAAUAGUUAGUCAGAGAAUAUAAGAAUAUAGAUAUUCAGCUAAUACUGUAAUACUAGACUCCAAAGAAACAAUGACUUCUUUCUUUGGAAAUGGUUUGAUGUUGUUUUUUUCUCUAAGAGAUUAAACAGCCUCUGCCAAUUCAUGGAUUCAAUUUAAACUUAGUCAAAUUGAAUCAAAUCUGGUUCUUUUUCGCUAUCAUCAUAUAAACAAUCAUCACUUAAACUAAAUAGUCAGAAGUCAAAGCAAAUAGUAAUUCUGCAGUUUCCAAGAGGAGGUCUUCAAAUUGCUUGUUUUGCUAAUUUCACAGAUAUUAAGUUUAAAAGAUUUGAAUUCUGAGAAAAGCUGAAAAUCAUCCGUUCGUUAUCCUCGUUACAACAUUAAAUAAAUUAAGUUAAUCAGCCAUUUUAUUACUCAAAGAAAAAGUAUGGCUACAAUAUCCUUUACUGCCUAGAGACCAUUUUAAGAAGAGUCCAUAAAGGUUUGCUUAUGUUAGCAAUUUGUUCUUGGCUAUAUAUUGAGAUUUCAAAGUAAUUGCACAAAAUGCAUCACUGAUAAAAUCUAAAAUUAAUAAAUAGAUGUUCUUAGUGCAAUGCACCUGAUGUUGUGAGCUCUCACAUCACAGCUAACAUCACUGUGAUGCUGCAGAGUGGAGACAGACCAGGAACUGGUUUGUGGACAGUUACUAUGGAAACGAGUAGCAGUUUGUGUCCACAGCAGUGGGCUCACAUCCAGUGUGUACGGAUGAAUGUUGAUGGGAGGUUUGCUGAGGUGAUUCCUCGCAUGUUUUAGGGUUUUGGUGACGUUUAGAAUGAAAUACAAAAGUGGGGCAUUGACACAGAAUCAAUAAGAAUGAACAGAUGCCGUUAAAGUUUAUACCUGGGUUAAGGUUAGAGUUAGAGUUAAGGUGACAUGGCAAAGAACAGGACUCACAAAAUACUGAACUGUCGAGCUUCCACUUUGAAAGUCGAGUUAAUGCAGCUGAGUCCGAGCAUGUUUGUGUGUGGGCGUGUGCACGAGACGAGCACUAAGACGAAGACUUGACAAGAGCGACUCUCGCUCACUGGACUCGUGUCUCACAACCACCCAGCUCAGUGGAAAUGAACGAUUUCUGGGUGGCUACUGCUAAACCCAUAGGGUUGUAUUUAAAGAUGGACGACAUAGCAGCUUGAUCACCCACUGGUGGCUGGCUGCAGUAUUGGUCAUAAACCCUGCCUACAUAAAUACACGUUAAAUAUUUUUUUCUAAAAUGUGUUUUCAGUCAAUUUAGUUGGUUCCCAUCACACCAAUGACUGACCGUCAAAGUGCAAGAUGGCAGCACCUGUAUCCAGAAUGUUUUAUCGUCCAUCUUUAUAUACAGUCCAUGGUUUAACCGUAUGAAAGACUUACAGUUCAGUGUUUGUGGUUCCGUUCUGCCUCGGACACCUUGCGCCCACAAACCUUGCGUCCUGGCUGACUGAGCCACAGACGGAGGUGAGAGGCUGUUUUGAGCGAAGGCAGCUUACGUUUAAACAUUUCUUUCCUCCUUUUGUUUCUGUCGGUCCGGCUGUUCUAUGUUCUGUUGAUCCAAAGCUGUGUAGUUUUCAGAUUGACUGACUGUGUAGUUUGUAUCAGAAACACAAGGUGCAUAUAAGUCGAACUCUUUCCAGUUUGACGACUGUAUGUUCUCUCAAGCUAGCUCGACAUAUUAUGCAUGAAUCCAGUUGAAGCUUUUUUUUUGUAUAUUAUUGUAUAUCACACUUUUUAAAAAAAAAGUACAUAUGUAUGUUAUACGUGAUGUUUAUAUGUAGAGAAAAAAACUUUGUCCUUGGGAUAGUUUCACACACAUGGUUUAACUCAGUCGGUAAAUUAGCAGUUGAUACCAGUUUUAGAGUUUAUUAUAUUUAAAGAUUGGGGAGACUAAGAUUUGUGAAAGUCUGUUUAAUAUUUUUUAGCGUAAUCCUGUUCACAAACAAACAAGCUAGCUACGAAAACCUCAUUUGUCGAGAUAAAAACAUAAAAGAUCUGCACCAAACUUUAAUGAGUUCUUUCUUGGCCAAUGUUCCAUCAUUCCACCAAGUUUCGUGGAAAUCUGGUCAGUCGUUUUUUAGCAAUCCUGUUCACAAACAAACCGACUGCGAAAACGAAGAUCUCUUCACGAGGUUUGGUUGAAAUUGGUUUGGUAGUUUUUGCGUAAUUCUGCUAACAACAACAACAACCUCGACACAGGUGGAAACAAAACCUCUUUUGCGUAGUUAUUAAAAUUCAGACUAACUCAUGUUCUAGGUUUCUGUAGAAUCAAUAAUUUCUGUAACAUUUCAAUGCAAAUUCUUUUUAGUGACACGAGGGAGAUUCCCGGUGAAAAACAUCUACUGACUGAAAAUAAUCCAUGUCUGCAGAAACUUCCCCCUGUUGUGUGUUUGUGUCUUUUCUCCCCAGUUAUAUGAAGCUGUUGUUACUGUACAUUUACUGUAUGGACAAUGUGUUUACUGAAUUCAUCUAAGUCCAACGUGCGCUCUUAAAUUCACUGUUCACCUUCGUUCACGUCUUUGUUUUCAGAUGAACCACAAAUUGAUCUUUACUUUUUCCUGAAGAUCCCGAGAUCCUGUCAAAAUUUACACAGAAAGCAAAACCUUUUUAUUUUUAUUUUACUUUGAAAGGUAGAUAAAGGUUGAAUGGGUGUUUAAACAGGAUUUGAAAAAUAGCAAUUAAAUGAAUAUGAAAUGUAUUUUUAUUAUAGUUUUUCUAUUCGUUUUAGUUUGUUCAGCUGCUUUAAAUCGCAGAAUUAAACAAACAGAGGCAGUAAAGUACAAAUCUAGAAAACCUUUAAACUAAAAUACUUUUAUAGUAUACUUUAUUAAUUGCUAAAUUAAGAGAUAUUUUUUUAUCAAAAAUUACGAUUUUCUGGUACCAGAAUAUAAUUUUUUUACAAUUUAAACAGCAAAAAAAAAGGAGAGAAUUCUCCCUAAAACAUUUUUUAUGAUAAAAUUAAAUAUCGACCAUCCUUCACAUUGAGUUUAAUGUGGGUGAUGUUGUAUCUGAGCGCUUUCCACCCUGUCCAUUCAAGUUCUUAUUAUUUUGUCUCUCUCUGUCACUUCAGUGGCGUUUUCUGUUUGUGUGAAUGCACUUGUGGUUUUUUUCUCCGUCUUCUCCGUGAUCCUCUGCAGUAUGUGACAGCAGAUGGAGCCUCUGCUGGUUUUAGUUCUUACGAACCAAAUUACACUCAGGCGUCCAUUCUCAGAUGUACAUAGUCUUUUUUUUUUUUGUUGCUUCAUGUGUACGACAGAUUUCACUAUAAGCUGUUUUUUUUUUCUCUUUGUAUGUUUCUGUGAAAUAAAGACUAUUUUAUCACAA